CCAAAAACUUUGCUUGCUUGGAUGGUUUACUCCGUUCUGCAACAAAACCCCCUCCGUGUACCUGUAUCUGUUGCUUCCGUUGGCCAGCGAGCAGCCCUUGAAUGGGUGCUCCCUCCGGUGCCUGAUCGAGCGAGAUCGGCUGGGGAGCUGCCGGCGGAUAGCUAGUGCGAAAGCAUUAAACUCAUGUCAACGAUGUGUAGACUGUCUGAGCUUUGGUGCUACAAAACAAAGCUAA
rnacentral:misc_RNA from 1 species